rnacentral:rRNA from 1 species
CGUGCGGUCUCUCUAAGUGUGAUGGGAAAACCCCACGUCUCUACCGGGGAGGUGUCAUUGGAAACUGGGGAACUUGGAGUGCAGAAGAAGGAGAGUGGAAUUUCCACGUGUAGCGGUGAAAUGCGUAGAGAUGUGGAGGAACACCAGUGGCGAAGGCGACUCUCUGGUCUGUAACUGACGCUGAGGAGCGAAAGCGUGGGGAGCGAACAGGAUUAGAUACCCUGGUAGUUCACGCCGUAAACGAUGAGUGCUAAGUGUUAGGGGGUUUUCGCCCCUUAGUGCUGCAGCUAACGCAUUAAGCACUCCGCCUGGGGAGUACGGUCGCAAGACUGAAACUCAAAGGAAUUGACGGGGGCCCGCACAAGCGGUGGAGCAUGUGGUUUAAUUUGAAGCAACGCGAAGAACCUUACCAGGUCUUGACAUCCUUUGACACCCCUAGAGAUAGGGCUUCCCCUUCGGGGGCAGAGUGACAGGUGGUGCAUGGUUGUCGUCAGCUCGUGUCGUGAGAUGUUGGGUUAAGUCCCGCAACGAGCGCAACCCUUGAUUUUAGUUGCCAGCAUUCAGUUGGGCACUUUAAGGUGACUGCCGGUGACAAACCGGAGGAAGGUGGGGAUGACGUCAAAUCAUCAUGCCCCUUAUGACCUGGGCUACACACGUGCUACAAUGGACAGAACAAAGGGCAGCGAGACCGCGAGGUUAAGCCAAUCCCACAAAUCUGUUUUCAGUUUGGAUCGCAGUUUGCAACUUGACUGCGUGAAGCUGGAAUCGCUAGUAAUCGCGGAUCAGCAUGCCGCGGUGAAUACGUUCCCGGGCCUUGUACACACCGCCCGUCACACCCCGAGAGUUUGUAACACCCGAAGUCGGUGAGGUAACCUUUAUGGAGCCAGCCGCCGAAGGUGGGACAGAUGAUUGGGGUGAAGUCGUAACAAGGUAGCCGUAU